CGCUGGCGGCGUGCCUAAUACAUGCAAGUCGAACGGUCUUUCUAUGGAAGCUUGCUUCCACUGAGAAGAUAGUGGCGAACGGGUGAGUAACACGUGGGUAACCUGCCCAUAAGAGGGGGAUAGCAUCCGGAAACGGGUGCUAAUACCGCAUAGUUUUCUUGAUCGCAUGAUCGGGAAAGGAAAGACGGCCUUUGUGCUGUCGCUUAUGGAUGGACCCGCGGCGUAUUAGUUAGUUGGUGAGGUAACGGCUCACCAAGACGAUGAUACGUAGCCGACCUGAGAGGGUGAUCGGCCACAUUGGGACUGAGACACGGCCCAAACUCCUACGGGAGGCAGCAGUAGGGAAUCUUCCGCAAUGGACGAAAGUCUGACGGAGCAACGCCGCGUGAGUGAAGAAAAGGUUUUCGGAUCGUAAAACUCUGUUGUCAGAGAAGAACAAGUUGGAGAGUAACUGCUCCAGCCUUGACGGUAUCUGACCAGAAAGCCACGGCUAACUACGUGCCAGCCGCCGC
rnacentral:rRNA from 1 species